AGUUCACUGCACUGCUACAGUCUGUUUCGAGAGCUCUGAACCUUCUAGACACCAUCAGGCUCUCUCUUGCAGUUCAGUCUGUUGCUUCUCAGCCUUCAGGAUCAUCUCGCCCACCUACUCGUGCCAGCACCUCUACUCAUGGCAGAGGCAGACGGGGUAGAGGAUGAGUUCUUGGUCGUGAUCCUUCAUCUCCCCACCCUAUCUCUGAUACAUCUGACUCUGAUCCAUCCAGUCAUGAGCUCUACUAGAUCCUUGUUGUUAGUCUUGUCUUUAGUCUCUUUCUAGGAUCUAUUUUUUGGGCCAUGUAAUGAUGUUGACUGAUUAACUUUUAUGUUUUGGUAUAUGUAGUGGAACAACUUUAUAGUUUCAGUCACUUUUUGAUUAUAUAUAUAUAUAUCUACUAUUUGACUUUUAAUGUAUGACCUUCAAAUUGAGUCACUUUCAAUUGUAUGCAUGCUUAAAAUACUAUGAAUUGCUAUUUCA
rnacentral:lncRNA from 1 species